rnacentral:tRNA from 1 species
GUUUCUAUAGUUGAAAAACAACGAUGAUUUUUCAUGUCAUUGGUCAUAGUUAGAGUCUAUGUAGAAAUU